ensembl:lncRNA
GCACCCUCGGGGAAACGAUGGUGGUGUUUGUGUGGUUUAUAUAGGGGGAAUACUGGGGAAAGUUCCUGGCAUUCAGAAUCAGAGUACACUUAAGUUGAAGCUCUGUGUUCAGAUUAUUAAAAUCACCUGCAGAUCGUUCUCGAGAAGUGUCUAAGACGCCACUAAACACAAACACUCACGUCGAAACCUAAUUCAUCCGAAUUAUCCCAUUAUUCACGGAUUUAACUGAACAAAAUGGCUUCCACACUCAUACAGUAAAUUAGCACUUGAUCCAGCACAGACUAUUGUUUUCCAUUCGAUUUUUUUAUAUCGUGUCCUGACACUUUACACGAAUUUAACGAAAGACACGGACAUUAAACUGUGGUCAUGAGAUCGUAACGUGUGUGUGAUGUAGAAGAUUUGAUUCAUCUUUAUUUAAUUCACUAUUUUGAUUUGAAACCUGUGCUUAAGUUUAAGAUCAGAACAGAGCGUGACUGCGACACACCUUUUAGACAAACUCCGCCCCCUCACGUAACGUCUCAGAAGUCUGAAUUCCAAUCUGUGUAGUUUCAGUAUCAAAUCCUCACCAUGUGUUUGUGUGUGUGUUUCAUUUUGAACGCACAUUUAAACAUGAGGGAAUUUUUUAAUGACUAACACAUACGCACAUUUCUGCAGCAAUUACAGUACACACAUCUUUCAAUUUAAAAAAAACCUGCAUAAUUUAUUGACAUUUUAUGAAAACACUGUGUCUGUCUCUGUACAACGUAAAACACAGACUGCAGUAAUGUACACACUGCGUUAUGCCGGAUACACACCCGUGUGUGUUCCUGUUUAAACUAAUUGAGGGGUAUUAUUGUUAUUUCAGUGUCCAUUUUGUCUGUAGUAAACACACACACACACACACACACUCGUUUAAGUGCUUUCUGUUAGGAGUCUGAGUACUGAACACUUCAGCAGACUAUAAUAAAUGUAAAUAUGACCUAGAAUGUAAACAGAUCGUAUAAUUAAAGCAGGAAUAAGGAACAAGGACCAUCUCUAAGAGCACUUUUACACUCCGUCUGAAUAAUCCGGGAUCAAUAACCGUUUGUUUUGAGAUGUUUUCUUGUUCUUCUAGCGUACAUGAAGAGAGCAGUACCGAAGAUACAUGCAAGAUUUCAAGGAUGAAUCAUUGUUGAGAUUACAAGCCUGGGAUGCUCUGACCUCUGACCUCACAUUUGGAAGCUCUUAUUAAAUCAAUGUUCAGGCAUGGAUAUACACCAUGUUCAGGUGUGCAGUGUUUGUGAGGAGUGUGAGAGCUUCAUCCCGUGAACAUAUACUAUGGUAUGUGAAUAAGAAACAACCUCCUCUUACAAUGUGCUGUUCAUUUAUAACACUUCACACAUCAGGGACAGAUGGCGAGCCAGCCAGGAGUGUGAAAAGGUAAGACACAAUUCAAGAACGUUUCAAGCUACUGAAGAACCUCCAUGUGGGCUACAGAUCCACCGAGACUGAGAACAUGACAACAUGGGAGUUCAGAUCCAUAAGAAAAAGCUGCAAAAAAAGUUGCAAAAACUCUCGUCUUCUUCUCGGUAAUGACACAAUGGCACAUGGACAUAGUGACACGGUGACAGUGACAGAAGGAUACAGUUACACAGGGACACAGUCACAUGGUGACAGGGACACUGCGAAACAGGGACACAUGGUGACACAGGGACACGGUCACAUGGUGACACAGGGACAUUGUGAAACAGGGACACGUAGGAACACAGGGGCACAUGUUGACACAGGGACACAUGGUGACACAUGGUGACAGGGACAUUAUGACAUGGAGACAUGGUGAAACAGGGACAAAUGGUGACACAGGGACACAUAGUGACAGGGACAUUAUGAGACAGGGAGACAUGGUGAAACAAGGACACAUGGCGACACAGGGACACAUGGUGACACAGGAACACAUGGUGCAUGUCCUCGGUGUGUGCAAGUGUGUGAAAGUUCCUCCAGGGGGAUUCUGGGAAUUUAAGUGUUUUCAUGCAUGUGGACACCAGCUUGUCAGCGGGUACAGGAAACAGUGCAGGGUUUUAAACCUGCAAAACCAAACACACAGUUAAAUCAUUCACAAGUCUGAUUAUUCUAUCUGAUUAUAUCCUGUGAUGAUAGUCCUACAGUCUGAGUAG